rnacentral:rRNA from 1 species
AACGAACGCUGGCGGCAGGCUUAACACAUGCAAGUCGAACGCACCGCAAGGUGAGUGGCAGACGGGUGAGUAACACGUGGGAAUCUACCUAGUUCUACGGGAUAGCCCAGGGAAACUUGGAUUAAUACCGUAUACGCCCUAAGGGGGAAAGAUUUAUCGGAAUUAGAUGAGCCCGCGGUUGAUUAGCUAGUUGGUGAGGUAAUGGCUCACCAAGGCGACGAUCAAUAGCUGGUCUGAGAGGAUGAUCAGCCACACUGGAACUGAGACACGGUCCAGACUCCUACGGGAGGCAGCAGUGGGGAAUAUUGGACAAUGGGCGCAAGCCUGAUCCAGCCAUGCCGCGUGAGUGACGAAGGCCUUAGGGUUGUAAAGCUCUUUUAAUAGGGAAGAUAAUGACGGUACCUAUAGAAUAAGCUCCGGCUAACUUCGUGCCAGCAGCCGCCGUAA